rnacentral:rRNA from 1 species
CAGCGGGGAGGUAGCAAUACCUUUGCCGGCGACCGGCGCACGGGUGAGUAACCACGUAUGCAAUCCACCUGUAACAGGGGGAUAACCCGGAGAAAUCCGGACUAAAUACCCCAUGAUAUGGGCUCUCCGCAUGGAAGGGUCCAUUAAAGAGAGCAAUCUUGGUUACAGACCGAGCAUGCGCUCCAUUAGCCAGUUGGCGGGGUAACGGCCCACCAAGGCGACGAUGGAUAGGGGUUCUGAGAGGAAGGUCCCCCACAUUGGAACUGAGACACGGUCCAAACUCC